rnacentral:rRNA from 1 species
GGAUCGGAGUCUGCAACCCGACUCCGUGAAGCUGGAUUCGCUAGUAAUCGCGCAUCAGCCAUGGCGCGGUGAAUACGUUCCCGGGCCUUGUACACACCGCCCGUCAAGCCAUGGAAGCCGGGGGCGCUUGAAGUGCGUUGCCACAAGGCGCGCCCUAGAGCGAAACCGGUGACUGGGGCUAAGUCGUAACAAGGUAAC